rnacentral:rRNA from 1 species
UGGGGAAUAUUGCACAAUGGGGGAAACCCUGAUGCAGCAACGCCGCGUGAGGGAAGAAGGUUUUCGGAUUGUAAACCUCUGUCCCUGGUGACGAAGACAGUGAUGGUAACCAGGGAGGAAGCCACGGCUAACUACGUGCCAGCAGCCGCGGUAAUACGUAGGUGGCAAGCGUUGUCCGGAUUUACUGGGUAUAAAGGGAGCGCAGGCGGGGAAGCAAGUCAGCGGUGAAAUACAUGGGCUUAACCCAUGAACUGCCGUUGAAACUGUUUUUCUUGAGUGAAGUAGAGGCAGGCGGAAUUCCGAGUGUAGCGGUGAAAUGCGUAGAUAUUCGGAGGAACACCAGUGGCGAAGGCGGCCUGCUGGGCUUUUACUGACGCUGAGGCUCGAAAGCGUGGGGA